UACGUAGGGUGCGAGCGUUAAUCGGAAUCACUGGGCGUAAAGCGCGCGUAGGCGGUCUGUUAAGUGGGAUGUGAAAUCCCCGGGCUUAACCUGGGAAUUGCAUUUCAAACUGGCCGACUAGAGUACGGUAGAGGGAGGUAGAAUUUCCUGUGUAGCGGUGAAAUGCGUAGAUAUAGGAAGGAAUACCAGUGGCGAAGGCGGCCUCCUGGAUCGAUACUGACGCUGAGGCGCGAAAGCGUGGGGAGCGAACAGG
rnacentral:rRNA from 1 species